rnacentral:rRNA from 1 species
AAGCUCGUAGUUGAAUUUCGGGCUUAGUAGGUUGGUCAUGCCUCUGGUAUGUACUGGUCUCACUGAUUCCUCCUUCCUGAUGAACCGUAAUGCCAUUAAUUUGGUGUUGCGGGGAAUUUGGACUGUUACUUUGAAAAAAUUAGAGUGUUUAAAGCAAGCUAACGCUUGAAUACAUUAGCAUGGAAUAAUGAAAUAGGACGUUCGAUCCUAUUUUGUUGGUUUCUAGGAUUGACGUAAUGAUUAAUAGGGAUAGUUGGGGGCAUUAGUAUUCAAUUGUCAGAGGUGAAAUUCUUGGAUUUAUUGAAGACUAACUACUGCGAAAGCAUUUGCCAAGGAUGUUUUCAUUAAUCAAGAACGAAAGUUAGGGGAUCGAAGACGAUCAGAUACCGUCGUAGUCUUAACCAUAAACUAUGCCGACUAGGGAUCGGAUGAUGUUAAUUUUUUAAUGACUCAUUCGGCGCCUUACGGGAAACCAAAGUGUUUGGGUUCCGGGGGGAGUAUGGUCGCAAGGCUGAAACUUAAAGGAAUUGACGGAAGGGCACCACCAGGGGUGGAGCCUGCGGCUUAAUUUGACUCAACACGGGGAAA